rnacentral:pre_miRNA from 1 species
UAGCUUAUCAGACUGGUGUUUGCUGUGGCACGCGCUAUCCCUGAGCAACAACAGUCGAUAAGCUGGC